ACGUAGGGUGCGAGCGUUAAUCGGAAUUACUGGGCGUAAAGCGUGCGCAGGCGGUUUCGUAAGCUGGAGGUGAAAUCCCCGGGCUUAACCUGGGAAUGGCCUUCAGGACUGCGAGGCUAGAGUGCGGCAGAGGGAGGUGGAAUUCCACGUGUAGCAGUGAAAUGCGUAGAGAUGUGGAGGAACACCGAUGGCGAAGGCAGCCUCCUGGGCCAGCACUGACGCUCAUGCACGAAAGCGUGGGGAGCAAACAGG
rnacentral:rRNA from 1 species